rnacentral:ncRNA from 1 species
AAAGGGGUGUCCAAUUAAGGACUGAGAUUAUACCCUCAAAACCUGAUUCGGGUAAUGCCGACGUAGGGAUUGAGC